CCCAACUCUUGAGCACCUCCUCCAUAUUUUCGUAUAUGGAUCAAUAGAAAAGGGUGCACAAUGUAUACCCUAAAAGCCAUGAAAAUUCCAAAAAAAAUUUGAAUAAAUUCGGUGCAAAAUUGAAAGAGUUUUGGAUUUCUAAAACUCUAUCUCAUAGAAUUCGAAAUCCAAACUUAUUCCUUUUUGAUUUGAUCCAAACCACCUUCCAUGUAAGAAAGAAGAGAGAAAACCUUUUGUGAACGUGGGAGCGACCUGGGAGAGGGCUUUUUUCACACAAAAUAAGUGGAGAUUGGCGUUGAAUAAGAGAG
rnacentral:lncRNA from 1 species